UCUUCUAGGAUUUUCUUGGUUUUUUUCUUUUUUUUUCUUAUUGUUUGAGGUUUUGUUGAUUGAUUCGCAUUUGUUGUUUGUUGUGCAGGUAUGAUGUGAUUUUCGCAGGGAAAAGAAUCUGAUAGCAUGAAGCAUUUGAUAAAUCUCUUUGUCUCUCUUGCUUAAAUCUUUUAUUUUAAUUGACUGCUCAUUGCAAUCGAUGUUGUUGGUGUUGUUUUGUAGGGUGCAAAUGAAACAAAACUUUUGCUUCCCACAGGUCGCAUUGUCUAUGAGUUUAAACAGAUUAAAAUCGUUUUCCCUAUAAAUCUUCUCAAUAUAUAGCGUCCGAGCAAAUUCCAAACCCAUUGAUUUAGCCGCUUCGCUCUAUUUAGGGAGGCUUGCAUUUUCAUUUUUAUUUUAUUUUAUGAUAUAAGUGGUUGUCGUUUGUUUUGCAGGUAUUCUCGAUUACGUUGCUUCUCUUCCGGAAACAACUCGGGUGAUUUUUUUUAUCUUGCUUUGAAGUCUGUUCGCAGCCAAAAUUGUUGGUUGUGUGGCGAUGCUACUGGUAGAGAUCACACUUGGACGAGCAUCGAUGGUCAUAGCUUUUGUCACUUUAAGGAAGAUCAACAGAAGCAAGCUGAGAGUGCAAAAAGGCAUCUUAACAUGCACUACCACAACCGUUCCAAAUCUCACAAUAAUAUCCGAUAUUAAUGUUAGAAAGACCUCAAAGAUUUUAGUUGGUUAACUAAUGGAAUUAACACUCUUUAGGUCAUACGGGUACUUUCAUAUUAAUAAUAUGAUUUCAGGUGAUUUUCUUCAGUUGUGGUUAAAAACCGAGAAAGUUUUCUUCUUACAAUUUCUGACCCAACCGUGAAAUAUUUCAGCCAAUAAAAACAUCGUGUUAUUUCACACCAACCAUACUUCGGCUGGGAACACCACGGAAAUUAUUUUCCAGUUUACGAAUAUCAGACCUAGCUACUACACCAAAACACGUAAACUAUUUUCUAGUUUACGAAUAUCAGACCUAGCUAUUACACCAAACACUAAUCACCGAUCUCUGCUGCUUCGGUAAUCCUUCUCCACAGAAGAAAACAUAAAUCUCUCCAUUAAAGGGCUAUCCAGAUAAGAAUGGUUCAUGAUAUUUGACUAAUUAAAACUAAUUUUAGUUCUCCCUUUUCUUUCCGCUUCUUCUUUGCUUGCCGUUUCUUUUCUAUUGAUCGUUCUUUUAUAUUCAAAACACAUAUCUGAUAUCAUAUGCCUCGAUUUUCAAUGGAUUGUUCUAUUUUUUUUGUAUUGAUUACUCAGGUACAACUCUCUUCUUUUUCAUAACCCUAGAUUUCUGUAUCUAUCAACAAUGGCGGAUGAGACGGAGGAAGUUGAAGAGAAGAAAAUCCAUGCUACAAAUCAAACCCUAAUCACUGAUGGUGAAUCAAUUAGAAUACUGAGUUUUGGGAUCUUCUUUUCGAUGAUUUUACGUUCAUAUACUUCGUCCUUGAUUUUGAUGCAAGGCUUAGUCCGCACACGAAAUAAGGUAGGUUCCAACAACCAAAGUCGUAAAACCUUUAUCCCAAAACCAACUAACACCCUAAAUUUCUAUUCUCUUCUCUUUUGUGAUUCUAUUCUCUUCACUUUUUUGGUUAUCCAAUGGUGUGUAGCACUGGAACUUUACUCACUUUUUUCUUUUAUUUUUCCUCCAUUUACUCGCCGUUUCAUCUCUUUUCUCCUCCAUAUAUGUUUUGAUUUUUGGUUGGUUGUUCUAUUUUUAUUUUGCAGAUGAUACUCCAUGUAUGUUUUGAUUUUCUUUUGGUUGUUCUAUUUUUAGUUUGCAGAUGAUAAUACAUGGAUGUACAACAGAGAUUUGAUUUUGCGCUUUAAGGUUCUUAUUUUCGAUUAUUAACUAUUCUAUUUUCCUUUAAUUGGUUGCAGCAAGUCUCUUGCUUUUUGGUAAGGUCAAAACUCCAGUUCCACUCUCUUGCUUUAUAUGGCGCUAAUUAUGUAUUACAUUUGGAUUUGUUUCAUUGAUGCUGGAAUAAUUCAGUGGUUCUCUUGGAAGACAGAAUACUGCCGAAGGAACAGUUCCGUCAAAUUCAUAAGAACAUACAAUUUUUUUGGUGGUGUAUUUCAAGUUUGGAGCGGGUAAUUUGUGCACCUACUUACAAAAAUGUUUCUUCAAACUAGAACCGAUGCUCUGAUGGAGUUCAUACAACAUCAUGAGAGAAACAAAAAACUGCGUGGUCGGUAUUUCUCGGUUUUCUUUGUUUGGUAAACAAUAUUUAUAUUUGAAUGGAAAAUGGGAAGACCGAAGACUCUAAUGCAUCAGUGCAUUCACUUCACAGACACAUAUAAGCUUGAGAACUCAAUUUGACUAAUGAUUGGUGUGGUUGGACGUUAUGGCACGGUUGCAUGGGAAGGAUGUCAAACAACAUUCUUACUUAUGAAGCGAGAUUAGAUUCUCGGAUCAUAAAUCUAAAUAUAUUUUAUUUAUGUAGUACUUUUGAUAUCUUCCACGUUGAAAGACACACAGUCACUUGCACAUGACAUUGAUUUCUUGCUGAUACUAAUGUUUCUUCUUUUCUUAAUUGAUUUGAUAUCCAUGUUCAACGGAAAAUGGGUACAAUAUGAUGCAUAGGGUUUGAUAAUCUUCACAUUUACAUGGAAUUACUGUUUACGUUUGUAAGGACCCUCAAGUACGUCAACGUUAUUAGACCAUUCAAGAGACAUUUUAGCCGAUAAUAACUCGAUUAGUUUAACACGAACGUUAAUUAAUAAAAAUUAAUAUAACAACGUGUUAGAUAUGAAACUAGUAUCGUUAGAUAGAUCUCGAAAAAUUACGCGGAAUAGACUACUCGCACGCGUCAUUUGAACACUGAGUGAAGAAGAUUUAUCAAUUUGUUUUCGGAGGGUAAAAUAGUAAUUUUGGAUAUUACCCUGGUGGCUGCACGUGUCAAAGCAUGUGGGUGUCUUACUGUUUCUUUUGGUCUUAUCUAGAGUCUAGACCGGGUAGAGAAGAUAAACUCUUCUUUCUCUUCUUCUUUUUCUUUGUUAUUCUUUUUCUUCUUUUCUUCUCUCUUUCUUCUUCUGUUCUUUCUUCUUUCAUUAUUUCCGUCGAUUUCAAGUCGACGAAGCGAACUUGUUUUGAUGUGGGUGUUUCGUAGAAGCUUGUAGAUGUAUCAGAGGAGUAGGUGAUGAUGUUGAAGUGGUUUGAGUUCCCGGAGAAGAAGAGAUUGAUGUUGUUGGAAACUGGAGAAUUAAGGUUCUUGAGUCGAUUGAAUUUUUGUGUGAGAUGAAGGGUGGAUAACAAAUUGAAAAUGGGUUUCGAGAUCCUGAAUAUAAGAAGGAGAUUGUUGUGUUAAUUUGAUGAUUAGGUUUCAGAGAAGAAGAUUAAUCAUGAAGAAGAAAUUAGGGUUUGUCAGAAGAUUGUGUAGAAGUUCGAUUAGAAGAUGAAUUUGAUGUUUUAAAAAGGGGAUUUGAGAUGGGUUUUGACAGAUUGAAUGAAUUAGGGUUGAAGAUAAAGAAUAAUUAGAGUUUUCAUAGAAUCAUUGAUGGUGUUGAAGUUUAGUGAGUUUUGGAUGAACUGUGAUGUUUGCUGAACUGAAUCAGGGUAAAGAAGAAGUUUAUGAUAUUGAUUUGCAGAUUCAGUUACAGAGAAGGAUUCUAAUUUCAGAAUUGAGGUAAUUGUCUUACUCUGUAAUUUUAGUAAGAUUAUUAUCUUGUUGUUGUGGUUCAAGUGUUGUGGUCUUGAUUUUGAUUAUCUCAUUUAAAUGGUGAUGAAUGAAGAUUAUUAAGUUUAUAAUUUGUUAUUGAAUAAGAAUUGUAAUGGACAUGGUAGAUAUGAGAUACAAUUGUGGUAUGCUCUGAGAAGGUUUUGGGUAUGUGCUUGUGUUACUGGUGAUGGUUCUGUAUAAUGAAUGAGACUAAGUUGCAGUUGUAGGUUAGGUUUGGGUGUUGAAUUGCAGUUGAGUUAAUGAAAGAUAUAAACAUCCUGAAGUUGGUAAUGAUGUUGUUGUUGAGGGUGAAAUGAAUAUGUGGUGAAAGUUAUAGUUAGAGUCUGGUGGAACUACUACAAAGGAGUUGGUGCUGAAUUGGGGUAUGAAGAUGAGUUAGUGGAAUUGCAAAUGAUGCUGUUAAGAUUUGGAAAAAUUAUAGGCUUGAGAGGGUGGCAUACUAGCUAUGGUUGUUGUUGUUGUGUUGAAUGGAAUUGCAAAAGUGUCCUGAGUUUGAGAUAUAAUGGUUAAGCAGUGGAUUGAUUGCUAGUGAUGUGUUGUUAUUGUGGAGAUGGUGUUACUGCUGUAGUAUUGUGGAGUGCAGGGAAGAAGUUAGUGGUCUAUUGCUGAAUUGGAUUUAAGGAGUUGUGGAUGUUGCUUAGAGCCUGUAAUGCUGAGAUUAGGUUAUGUGAAGUGGAGUUGGUAGUAGUAGAAAAAGAGAAAGCUUAGAGCUGCAAUUUCAGUUAGUUAUUAACAAAGAUCGAUUCAAAUGAUGAAUCAGUGGAUCGUGGAUCUCGACGUAGGCGUGGCUUGUCAUCAAAAGAGAGACAGAUCAGAGUUGCGCAGCGAAAGCUUUGAGGAGUUUGAGACCGUUAGUUAGAUUACUUCGGCUAUGUUUAUUAUGUUGCAUAUUAUAUUUGUAAACCAAAUGACUAUUGUAUAUGUAUUAUUUGAAAUGAGUUCUUGUA